UUUAGAUAAAUUUUAUUAUAUUUUGAGGGUUUUAACAUUUUUAAUUUAUACAUAUAUAAUGUUGAUAUUAAAAACACAUCAAACUCAUAUAUUUACAAAAAAAAAAUUAAAAACGCUAAUUUUGAAAUUUUAAGUUACUAAUUUUUAGAUAAUAUUAUAUAAUUUUCAAUUUUUUUGAAUUUUUUUAUUUUUAAUGGUAAAACCCCUCAACUAUGUUUGCUUAAUGUAGAAACCUCUAAACUACAGAUUUACCGGUAGUAAUAGUAAUUAUGACAUGUUAGGAUUUAAUUCAUUACAUAAAGUUAGUUUGGAGUUUUUUUGUUAAAUACUAGUUUGGGGGUUUUUACCAAAAACUAACUUAGUUGAAAGGUUUUAACGUUAAAAAUUCCCUAAAAAAUAAAACAAACAUAUUCUACUAUCAUCAAAAUUAUAUCAAAACAAAACAUAUAUCCAAAAAUACUAAGAAAACCAAAAUAUAGGAAAUAAUUUAUCUUAUAUGUUUAAAAUAUGGACACUAUUAUAUAAAACAUUUAUACACUUCUAUUUCAUUUUUAUGUUAUAAAAUACUAAAGUUAUUAUCAAUACAAUACUAAAAGUUGAAUAAGAGCUCCAUUGAGCCUAUCCACGUCAGCUGAAAAAAUCAGCCAGUAAUAUUGCAACAAUCAUCCACCUCAUCCAUGUCAUAAGAGCGUUCGGGAAAAAAAUACCGAAACUUCCGUGUCCUAAUGGCCCAGAGUCAAGCCCACUUCUCAAAACGACUCACACCUUUGUCUUCUCUGUUUCGUAUUCCUGCAAAUCUCCGUUACCAACAACCCUUUCUUUAUCAAUCAAUUAUAUCAUUUAUUCCUUUUUUACGGUUUCCUUUCACCUCCUCCCUAUGUAUCUUCUCCUAUAAAGAUCUUUCUUCAAAAUUUUAACUCAAACCAAAAUAAAAAAACCUCCACUAAUAAAGGUAAAGCCUAUGGCCAUGGAAAAUAAAUAAUUCAGAGUCUCUCGCUCUUCCUCUACUCUAUAGCUAUAAAACGGCGAAAUCCACCGCGUUUGCCAUCAAGUUUGCUUGCUUCAAUUGUUGCAGCUUCAUAACUCGUGCCCUGUUUGUCAUAUGAGUUCCCCACAUACGAUGCUGAUUACGAGUUCAUGACUCAUGGAGGUCAGACCAGUGGGGAAGUCGGACAACGAACGGUUGAGAGUUCGCCGACGCCGAGGAGGUUUAGUGUAUCAUAUCCAUGGCCACUCAGGAGACGUGAUACGAAUUAGGAUUCUGGGAGUGGAUCUGAUAUCGAUACUAGAAAUUCAUGGCAUACACUGAAAUUCUCUAAACAUUUGAAGAUCAAGAGGAGUUAAAAGAGGUUUUGACCUUCGAAUGCUAGCAAGAAGGUGGAUCAAUGAGAAGCUUUUCGAAUAUACUCUGUACACAUUCCUUUUACAUAUCCUUCUCUCCAAUAUUUGUGUUGCCAGUGUUAACAAUGGUGGCUUCCCUAAACCCACGUCUGUUUUAUUCUCCUUAACUAACAAAAUGUGUUUCACGUAGCAUUUAAAGCACUGAUUUUUUCUCAGGGUUAUGGAGAUGGGGAAGAAGCUUGCAGAGAGGAUAAGGAAGCAAAUGGGCUUACAUUGUCCUGAGUCUAAUUGUGGCUUUGAAAAUUUAUUUUCUACACCGAAGAAAAGAAGAAGCCCAUGACUGUUUUAACGUUUUGUUGUCUUCUAGGCUCUGUAAAUGUUCUUAAAACUGGUGUUUUGAUGAUUAUGUGCCUCACAUUUGUUUUUCUUUCUAUGUAUAGGUUAAAUCACAGCUCAUUGAAUGAAAAAAGUACCUAACUCCGUAUUUUCCAAUGGUCUUACAUAAUAGUCUCCAGUGGGAUCAGGAGCCUUAUGCUACUGUCGAUAUACUACAGAUUCCACCAACAUCAUAUCUUCAAAGGCAAAAAGAGGGAAGAUGAACAUGGCGACUUGAAGCCAGCCUCUAUCGCUGAGGGUGGAAACUGCAGCAAACCAUAGUAGACACUAGAAGGUGCUCGCAGGUUGAAGCAAAAGAAGUUUUUUUUUUCUGUUACAAAGCUUUCCCAAUCUAAAGACACUGGUUUGGGAGAGAAUGAUUUACUUGAUCAUGAAGGAACUUUCUCUAUUAGCUGAUAAGGUUCGUAGUUUGUAAUUUGCCUAAGUAGCUGAAUCCUAACACUAAAACUGAAGGUAUAGUUUCUGAAUUCUGAUAAGUUGUUUGUUUUUCUAUGGUUAGUAUUGUUACAAGCUCCCUGAUCAACGAUAUGAAUAGCAAGAUUGAUAUGUAUCUUGCAAAUGGUAUAACUCUCUAAUACCGAAUAAUAGACGAAACCCUUUUUACACAAAUUAGGUGGUACUUGAAACAAGCGAUUGUGGAUAAGAACUAUGUUGUUUUAAGCUCUGUUAGUAAGUUCUUUUGCAUGCUUCUUAGUUGCAAAACCAAAACUCAGGUUAUGCUGCAAAAUGAUUAGUUUCAUAAAUAUCAGCUUCUACAUUGAUAUAUAUGUAGAAAAAUAAGAGAAAGAAGAAAAGCUUACAAGGAUUAAGGAUGUUAGGGGGCUUUAAAAGGAUAAAGCACUGCAAGAAAUGAACGGCAAAAGCAACAUUUUGAAGUAUUGGACAUAACACGUGUUUUUUUAAUCGUGGGAGUAUUCCUUAUGUACUGCUAUUAGAUUACUUGAUAAGAUAAGAAAUGUAUUUCUUAAUUUGCUUCACCAGUGCCAACAAUCACAAAAUUAUAAUUUAUUCUUCCUUCUUUCAGGUUCUAAUGAUUGGUUGUUAUUUGAGUUGUUGUGAUUUUUAGUAGGGAUGUGUAAAGGAAGAUGGAAUCUAACAAGUCAGUGUCGGAGGUUGAUGAUGAAAUUGAGGGUGAGGAUCGUAGUAAAUAGGUUUGUAGUUGAUCAUUUUAAAUUACGUUAGAUUGUGUAUAAUCAAAUUCAUGAUGAGAAUGGUGACUAAGGUUGAAGUUUAUAGCAUAAGUACAAAUGGCUGAUCUAUCUGUCUUCUUUAUGUUUUCAUAAAAUUGUUAUGGGAAUGAUUGAAAGAUAGUGUUUUUCUUUAUUAUUCUCUUUGUUUUAAUACUUCCACAAAAUGUUUUAUUCCCUACAUGAUUUAGAUUCUUACUUUAUAUAUUUGUGAUCUCAUAAUUCUAUUUUGACAUGUGAUCAGUUCAAACAAAAGGUUAGAUGAAAGUUGGUAAAUAAAAAUUUAUUUAUUUGGCCAAGAUAAUAUCAUUGUUUCAAAUUUGUGUCCAAUUCUAAAUUUACACAUUUCUAACCUAUUAAAUAUAAUAUACUUUUGUAGUUAAAUUAUCAAAAAGACAAAUUAGUGAUAAAGCAGUAUAAGGAGUUGUAUUAAUCUUUGAUGAUGCAACUAAAUAAAACAUAAAAUAUUCAGAAAAUUACUAAGUAAUAAAUUAAUAAGUAAAAUGAAUAAAAUUUGAUAUCUAAUAUGAGUUUGCAAAGAAGUAAGAAGAAAAUAAAACAUUAAGGAUUAUAAAAUGGUAAAAUAAAGAGUAAAUAAA